GGGUCAUUACUGUAAUUUCACUCACGCUUGUACUAGAAGCUGGAGAAGAAGCCAUUUUAGCAGAAUGAUAACAUGCAGUAAAUUGUAAAUGACUGCUAGAUUCUGAAAGUUCCAAGUGCUCUGGAAAAACGGGCAAAAGGACUCACGGCGUAUUUUCUAACCUUUUUAUAGUCAAAAUAAGAAACAAAGUCCAAACGGGCCAUUUGAGGCUUAGGGUUUAAAGGGUUAAAGUAUUGGAGUGUCC